UGUGCGCGUGAGAGAGAGAGCGCUCCACCGGGCCUGGUCAGGCUGUGGCCCCUUCUUCCAUCCUCCGGCCUGCCGGACCUUGGGUGCCUGGCGUGUUUCAUGCAGAGCAGGCGGCGGACUCGAACUGCGGCCACCGCGUGGGACCCAGCUUCUCCUGGGCAGCGCUUCACCGCUCCACUGCGGAGCUGGCCCACCAUCGUCUUAUUCAAGGGCAUUUUCACACACACGGUGUUUAUCUGAAGUUCGGAGUUAGCUGGGCCUCCUGCUUUUAUCUGGCAGCCCUCAUCAAGGGAUAUUUUAGAGCACCUUGAGGUCUGAGCAGAGCAGGUGAAGGAGACCCGAGGCGAUCCGCGUGGGUGCUGACCCUUGACCACGUGUCUGCCGGACUCCGCCUCCCCACGACCCCCAGCCCCUGAGGGUGCGAGCCCACUGCCCGGCACCCCCACCUGCUGCUCUCUGUGUUUAUUCAUGAUUUAACUAGGGGAUCGGGGCCGUCCCGGCUCUUGUGGCAAGUGCGGUACCUGGCUUUGCUCUCGGUGGCCGGGCCGCCUGCCCGGGGCCUGCUGCUUUCCAGGCCAUCGCAAACCUUUACCGAGCGCAGGUGCACACGGCCCUGCCUCACCCUCCUCCAAGCCGUGCCCGCUCCCCCGCCGUGUCAGAGAGCACUUGUCACUUCACGCUCAGCCUGCUACCGGGCACUUGCUGAUUUCAUUCCUGGCCUAGGGCUGGCUGGGGCUUGGUGGCUAAGGAGUUCGAUCCCCCAUGGCCGAAGGACGGUUCAAAUCCAGAUCCCGUGCUCGAAAAAUACAUCGGGCCUGCACGUAUGCCCCCAAUCCAGCAGGAUGGAGAGUGGAGAGACGGCAUUGUGGCAUGGCCGCACCCCUGGGGGUGCUUUCUCCCCUUCCCUCUCCAUCUCGUGCGCUCUGUCUGGUGAGCACGUGCCCCUCCUGGUGAUGAAAACAGAGUGAUUUGCUGGUGUUGCCAACGAGGCUGCUAGAAACACCCUCGUGCAGCCUCUGGGAAGGAGGGUCUGAUUAUUUCCUCGCGGCAGGGCUCUGGGCAAUCGUGUCCCUCCCCACUGGCUCCCCCCUCUACGCGGACAACUCACAGAGUUGAUUUCCAGCUGAGCCCGGCCUUUGCACCCCAAGCCACAUGCCCCAUCACCCACCGCCAGCUCCCCGUGGACAGGUGCACUGAGGCCUCAACAGGACAUGCCUGAAACCCAGCCCCUCCCUGUCAUGUUCUCACUGCCCGCUGCUCCCGCGAAUCCUGGGUCUUCCCCACACCUCGCCUCCCCUCAGCCCCCAGAUGCAGCCUGUCCCAGAUGCAGGCCACUUGUCUCCGGCAUUUCUCUUGAAUCUGUUCAUGUCUGCCCCGCUCCCCCACCGUGGUCUGGGCCCGCGUUCCCUGGUGCUGGAGCACCAGAGGCUGGGCCCUCCUGUCACCCCACAGACCCUCCAGAGCCGCAGGUUCACAUGCACAGUGGCUGCUCGGUCCCAGAACCUUCCCGUAGCUUCCUACUUGCUGGGGUAAAACCCCAAGCCCCGAGGUGUCUGGUGGAGUCCUGGCUCCUCCACUGGCUAUCCAGCCCUCCCGCCCCCGGGCUGCCCUCUAGCUCCUGCGGAGACCACAGCCCCUGCGACCACGGGCCCUUUGCAUAGGCUGGCCUGUGCCUGCACCCUCUGUCGUCCUGGUUCCUCGUCGCCCUUCCUCCUAGGCUCAGCCCAGUGGCCCUGACUCGGACAGGGGAGGUCCUAGAGCACCCGGUCACGUGCCCUCAUCACCGUUGUCACACUGCGUUCUGUGACAUGGGCUUAUGUAUUUGACCAGCACCUGUCUUCCCUACUGAAAUAUAAGCGCUCUGCUCCCAGGGCUCAUGACGGAUAUAUGGAAAUAGUCCAGAAAUACAUGUCGAAGGAGCAAAGAAAAAGUAAAGAACAAUUCCUGGGAGAAGGCGCGGAUCACGUUAAAGCGCUCGAGAUGGGCAGCUAUGAAGUGCUCUGUGGGCAGUAGCAGGGCACACUCCCACCCGGCCCGUGACAGUGCCUGCCUGCCACGCCUCACCGGGCACUCGACACCUGCCGGAAGGACCGUCACCCUGAAGCAGGCCGGUGAAGGCUGAGCAGGACUGCAGCCAUUUUGGAAUGAAGAAAGGCCUCUGAUGAGAACCCGACCAAGUGCUGAGUCCUGGGGAGGGCCGUCUGAGGACCGGCCGGAGAGCAAGGUCACACGCUCCCAGUGCCCUGGCCUCCUCGCGAUAUGGAGGGCUCAGGGCAGCAGCUCGAGGCUCCAAGCACGCGGGGCCCAUGACAAGGCAACUGCACCUCUGCGGCCUGGCUGGUGAAGUCGCUUCGGCCUCCUGUUGGUCAGCAUCCAACAAGCCCUUCCGACACAAAGGUUUGGACAGAGGGCCCUCAGCAGAGGAGGUUC